AGACUGGUCAUUUAACCUCAGCUUUAAAAUAAAAGUCAUUUUCCUUAAUUGUCUUCCAUGAGAGCCACUAACCAUAGCUGAAGGAGGUUCUUCAUCAACCUUUCUCACAGAUGCUUCCUGUGAGAAUACCUGAGCCAAACAGAUGUGUGACGUAAAGUAGCCGAGCUGUCAGACUCGAGGAGAGAUGGUUUCUGAUUGACACCCCUUCAGGCAAAAGGCAUCAUGGGAAGCUCUCUGCAGACUUGAGCUGUGCCUGCGCAGAGAGAAAAUAUGGCUACUCUUUUGACUGGUGCAACAUUUGAUUUGUGAUCAAAGAUUUUACGUUAUUUCUAAAAAAAAAUUUAAAG